GCAUGGGUUUGGAUUUGUGGUAGGUCCAAUCCUGUGGGCCUCUCACAGUGUCCCGUGCCAAAGCAAACUUAACCCCGAGCCAUUGCCUGGCUUCACCCCAUGGGCUUCAGGCACUGUUGCACAGUU
ensembl:snoRNA